UUCACAGAUGAGCAACUGAGAUGCAGACAGAUUGAGGAAAUCCCUCAAAGUCACACCAUGAGUUAAAUGGUGGAUCUGAAGUUUGAUUGGAGGCCUACUGCGUGCUGUGUUUAUUAUCUUACCACUCUGCGCUACUGAUUUUUCUAGAAGAACAUGGUCUUAAUUCUCCAGCAGAUGUUUGUCUAAGCACUCGCUAUGAGAAGACAGGGACCUGAGUCAGUCCAGAAGCUAUUGUUGAGGUCAGUGGAUUCUCAGAUUAAUCCAUCAAUGAGAAAAAUUGUGUGUACUACAAAAUGGACCAUUGGGUAUUGUGUUGGGAAAAAAAAUAAAAAAACAAGAAAACAGUG